AACGAACGCUGGCGGCAGGCCUAACACAUGCAAGUCGAACGCUGUAGCAAUACAGAGUGGCGCACGGGUGCGUAACGCGUGGGAAUAUACCCUUGGGUGCGGAACAACGUCGGGAAACUGACGCUAAUACCGCAUAAUGUCUCCGGACCAAAGAUUUAUCGCCUAAGGAUUAGCCCGCGUUAGAUUAGCUAGUUGGUGAGGUAAAGGCUCACCAAGGCUACGAUCCAUAGCUGGUCUGAGAGGAUGAUCAGCCACACUGGGACUGAGACACGGCCCAGACUCCUACGGGAGGCAGCAGUGAGGAAUAUUGGACAAUGGGGGCAACCCUGAUCCAGCCAUGCCGCGUGAGUGAUGAAGGCCUUCGGGUUGUAAAGCUCUUUUAGAUGUGACGAUGAUGACGGUAACAUCAGAAAAAGCCCCGGCUAACUUCGUGCCAGCCGCCGCAGUAA
rnacentral:rRNA from 1 species